GACGAACGCUGGCGGCGUGCUUAACACAUGCAAGUCGAACGACGUGGCGAACGGGUGAGUAACGCGUAAUCAACCUGCCCUUCAGAGGGGGACAACAGUUGGAAACGACUGCUAAUACCGCAUAUUGAAGGCAGGGAAUGCGUCUGAGUGGCUAGUUGGAUGGGUAACGGCCCACCAGGGCGGUGAUCAGUAGCCGGUCUGAGAGGUUGGACGGCCACAUUGGGACUGAGACACGGCCCAGACUCUUACGGGAGGCAGCAGUGGGGAAUCUUCCGCAAUGGACGAAAGUCUGACGGAGCAACGCAGCGUGAGUGAUGACGGCCUUCGGGUUGUAAAGCUCUGUUAAUCGGGACGCGGUACCGGAAUAGAAAGCCACGGCUAACUACGUGCCAGCAGCCGCGGUAAUAC
rnacentral:rRNA from 1 species